ensembl:processed_transcript
GGUAGGUUAAGGCGACAUUACAAGCUCGUAUUACACCCCUCCACAUCAGUAUUUAUUUAUGCUGGUAGGACAACGUGAUGGAUAUGCUAACGUUACCUAUCGGUUUAUAUUUUGAUUACACACUAUGCUACCUAUUUUUUGAAUGGAAAAAUCUGACAGGAUAGGACUUAUCGACGGAACACUUGCCAGGCAUAAAACAAAAACAGUGUAAUCAUGACAGACAUACAAAACUGGAAUAAAACACUUGGGGAGAGGGGUAAACUCAGGCAGCACGUGUACGUGUGUCUCACCGUAGCUUUAGCUAUGAUGAACACGGACUCUUGACUCGCCAGAGUCACAUCCGGAUCUGCUUUCAUCAGGGUUUUAAUGCGGGACAGCGGAAGCCUGGCGAGCCGGUGUUGCUGUGCGCCCGCGGUGGGCCCGGUUUGCCCGCUCCCCGCGUCUUCCUCCGGCUCGGUGCCCCGGGGCUCUUCUUCAGCCCCGCUGCGGUCCAACUCCGAUUCCGCGGGAGCUGCAGACGCGGUCGCCGCCAUCGACGCACAAAAACUCUCAACCGAACGCGCUGCUGUGAACCGAAAGCAGAUAAUCUAAUCCUCUCCCGCCAAAUCUGACUGUAAACACAACCUAGAGGAGGACGGCGGAAACCACGUCACUGCACGACGUCAUGCUAGCGGGUCAACUCAUUUCACUGAGUAAGGUACCAAAACACUAAAUAUCUGGGCAAAGCGGCACGCAAAGAAAGGAAAGAAUGAGGCAGCAGCACAACCCGUUCAGAAAGAGGCAGAAGCACGAAAGCCUCCGGUUCUCACACCCGAACAACGAGCAAAGCAGACAGCCUUCGAGAGGGUCCUCUAUGACAUGUCCCACAACGACCGGGUCAUCAAUGACAUCAUUCUGGGCCGCAGGAUAGGUUUCUACGAUCUCAGAGGAGAAAUAGGGACUGGAAAUUUCUCCCAGGUCAAACUUGCUGUUCAUGAGUUGACCAAAGAGCGUGUUGCAGUCAAAAUUCUUAACAAGGCACGUCUCGACAAGAAGUCGCAGAAUUUAUUUGCCUCAGAGAUCAUGUGUAUGGAAAAACUCUCCCAUCCAAACAUCGUUCGUCUGUAUGAAGUGCUUGAGACGGGUAAGCAUGUGUACCUCGCUAUGGAGUACGGCAGCGGAGGCGAUCUGUUCUCACGCAUCACCACCAGAGGACGCCUGUCAGACCUGGAGAGCAAACUCAUCUUUGCCCAGAUCGUCUCAGCCAUUAAAUACAUGCAUGAAAUCAACAUCAUCCACCGUGACCUGAAAGCCGAAAAUAUUUUUUACACCACAUGCUACUGCAUCAAAGUGGGCGACUUUGGUUUUAGUGUGUUUAGUGAGCCCGGCGAAACUCUCACCACGUUUUGUGGUUCCCCUCCAUAUGCAGCUCCCGAGCUGUUCAGGGACAAGAGCUACAUGGGCCGUUAUGUGGACGUCUGGGCGCUGGGCGUCCUCCUCUACUUCAUGGUAACCGCCACCAUGCCUUUCUUCGCUGACAACUUAGGCCGACUGAAGCGCUGCAUCCUGCAGGGGGCAUACAGCAUCCCGUCCUAUGUCCCGGACUCCUGCCAGCUGGCCAUCAAGGGGAUGCUGAGACCUGUACCUGUGGACCGCAGCACACUGUCACAGCUGAUGAUCUGCUCCUGGAUGCAGUGCAUCGAAUACCCCAAACCUUACCCCACAUUCAGCGGGACACCCGGCUAUCUGGCUGACCCUGCCAAGAGCCUGUGUGUGGAGGAGCAGGAGGUAAAGUCAGCUCUAAGCGAGCUGGGUUUAAGCGGGACACAUCUGCAGAAUAACACCUGCACUGACUGCCGCAGCCCGAUCACAGGAGCCUACCGUAUCCUGCUGCACCGCAUCCAGAAGAGGAGAUCCGUGGAGGCAGUGGGAUAUUCAGGUCUCUACCCAGAGGAUUUCAGUAGCAAGAAAUACUGGGCCAACAGCCCGACGGCAAAACACAAUCCUUCCGCAGUGUGUAAUGUCCUGUGAAGACCUUAUUUUGAAACGGAUUAUGUGAAUGAGGCCACAUUACAGGAACUGGUGAAUUGAAAUUCAUGCAAUUAUUUCCAGUUUAAGGGUUAGUUCAACCAAAAUUUACAUUUCUGUAAUUAAUUACUCUCCAUCUUGUCGUUUUCAUCCAAUGAGACCUUUAUUUAACUUCAAAACACAAAUUAAAAUAUUUUGAAUGAAAUCAGAGAGCUCCAUCAUCCUCCGUAGAUAACAAUGGUUCUGAUAUAUUCAAUCAAGACAAGGAACCAAAAACAUUCCAUGCGACUUCAGUGGUUUAAAUGUGAUAAUAUGAACCUUUAAAAACACUUUUGUGUGCCAAAAAACUCUGAAAAUAAGUCACAUGGAAUGUUUUGAUAAUGUUUUUGUUUCAUUUCCUGGACUCUGAUAGUCUCUUGACUGUUUCUGACUGUAGAGAGUUCUCGAAUUUCAUCUAAAAUAUCUUAAUGAAGGUCUCAGGGGGUUGGAAUGACAAGAGCGAGUAAUUAAUAACAGAAUUGUAAUGUUUUUUGCAGGAACUAACACUUUAAUCCCAUGUUCACCAUCGAGGAAUGAUCACAAGAUCAGUCUCUUACAUUAGGUACUGUUUUUUUAAUAUAUCAAUUUAAAAGCUGACCUUUAUCAGUGUUUUAAAUGUGAUUUCAAAGCAAUGUCAGAUGAUUACAAGUCUCUUUUUAUCAAAUCAACAACAUACAGAAAAAACAACACGUUUAGACCUGUGCAGCCAGAUUCACAAAAGAAAUGCAACAGUAAACAUCAAAAACACAUGGCCCCUGAUUGCGAAAAUAAAUGAAUUAUGAGUG